AUGGGCUGUUGCAGGCCUACCAAGGGACGCCACAGCGUCUGCAUUUUGGGCUUCCACCCAACCCAAUCCGGUGGUAGCGCCCACCAAAGAGAACCCAAUCCACCCCUCACAAAAGAAAAAACAACCCAAUCGGGACCAUUCUUGGCGAGGAGAAGGUGGAGAAGAAAGCAGAUCGGCGGCGCCGGCGGCGGCCGUGGCCGCACUGAUCGACUCGGACUGCGGGUGUGGUCUUCCGCCCGAGCACCCAUAAACAUGGGUCCGGAGGCGCCUGAGCUUCAACCAAACCCCGUCGAUCCCGCUGGACGCCUUGUGCUAGAGCACAGCUCGAUGGCGAUCGCCGAUGUCAACAUGGGUCUACAGGCGCCUGAACUUUUGUCAUAUCACAUCAAUCGCGCACGACCCUUCUAUGAUGAAAAGUGGAAAAGUAUGAAUGUGGGGAAGAAGAAGACGAAGAAGAUGAUUUUCCGGGUUCCGCAGCAUGAGCUGGAUGACAUACUGUCCUAUCAGGUGCCGGCUUGGCCGAAAGUGGAUAAACGCUAUCCUUCGGCCGCCAUAGAGAUGGAAAAAAUGAAGGAAUACUUUUUGGCCGGGCGGGAGAAGAUGAGGCGAGAGUAUGAGGCCCAUGGCUAUGCUACUUUUGAAGCAGAGGUCACAGAUGAUGAGAAGGAGGAAGACGCAGCAGCGACUACUCCUCAUGAGGAGAAGGAUGACAAUGCAGCAGCGACAUCUUUUCAUGACAAGAAUGACGAUGCAGCAGCGACUCAUAUUCACGAGGAGAAGGAUGAUGUGCCAGCGACAUCUUUUCACGACAAGAAUGAUGAUGCAGCAGCGACUCCUACUCAUGAGGAGAAGGAUUAUGCAGCAGAGACAUCUUCUCCUUGGAUUAUUCCACGAGGAAGAGGCCGGAGAAGAUUUCGCCCGGGUGUCGUGAAGCAAGCGAGUGGUGUUAAGAAAAUAACUUAG
rnacentral:rRNA from 1 species